rnacentral:ncRNA from 1 species
GGGUUAGAUAGAAGCUUGUUUUUUGUUUAUAUUUUUAUUUUAUGGGGGAUAUCUGAUUUUUCCAAUAGUUGAAUUUUUAAAAAAUAUGUUAAAGGGUGAGAAGACAAAGUUUGUGCCAGCAGUCGCGGUCAUACCUUAUUCUUAAAAUUUGCUUUUCUUUUAAGAUUUUAAUUUUUAGUUUUAUACUUUAGGGGUGAAAUUUUAAAGUAAGGUUUUUUAGUUGAAUGAGUGUAACUUGUUAAAAAAUAGGAUUAGAUACCCUAGUAUUUUAAGGGUUAUUUUUAGGUAUUAAAUUAUUUUAAUUAAACUUAAUCUUUCUGGCGGUUUACUACCCUUUCACAGGAAUUUGUUAAUUUUAAAAGAUAACCCGCUUUUAUUAUAACCAGUUUUAUAUUUUAUGUACGGCUGUUAAGCUUUAAUUUGAUUAUUUUUGCUAUAAAAUUUUUCUUAAAGUUCAGGUCUAUGUGUAGAGAAUAGAUUGGUUUUUAAUUAGUUACCCUAAUAGGGAUAGGUUUUUAUUUACUUAUUAAAUAUGGAUGUGAAAGUAAAAUAAGAAUAAAAUUCUUGUUUGAUUAGGACCUAGUGAAAGUACAUAUCGCCCGUCACUCUUUUGAUAGAUAAGUCGUAACAAAGUAGGGGUACCGGAAGGUGUCUCUUGUUU